rnacentral:lncRNA from 1 species
AUGAGAGAAAAUUGCUCUUGGAAAGCAUUCUCUCCUCUUCUUCCUCUUGCCCUCUAUCCCUCUUUUCCCCUCUCCUUUCCAUCCUUCCUUCCUUCCUUCCCUCCUUUUCUCUCUCUCCCUCUCUUUUCCCCUCUCCUUUCCAUCCUUCCUUCCUUCCCUCCUUUUCUCUCUCUCCCUCUCUCCCUCUCUCUCCUUUCCCCUUCCACUUUAGUGGAAAUGAUGUCAGAGAGACCUAGACAACAAUGUAUCUAGAGGACAAACUAAGGACAAAUAUGAGUACAGAAAAAAGGACAGGGCAGCUAGGUAGAUACUUUCUAGUUGUAUGGCCUGGGCCAGUCACUUAACCCCAGCUGCCUAGCUCUUACCACACUUCUGACUUAGAACUUAUACUGAGAUGGAAGGGAAGGAAGGGAGGAAAGGGAGGAAGGGGAGGGAGGGGAGGGAGGGGAUGAAGGAAGGAAACAUAGUUACCCUAUGAAGGAAGUAAUUUUAAGAAGAAUGAGACAUUACACCAGAGAGAAAAGCUGUCUAUAGACUCUAGAAAGCACCAGCUCUCAGAGUCUAGAAGAGAGUUACACUUAAGGGGCAUUUUAUUAGCAGUCUAUGAAAGAAAAAAAGGACUUUUAGCCUUGGAGAAAUGUUAGUUACUCAUGUCAUUUCUAUUCCCAUAACUGCAGCCAACAAAAAUCUGUAGUUUCUAUUACUGCUGUCAACAUUUUCUUUUGGAGUCACUGUGUCUCAUUCAUCACUUAUAUUAUGGCUCUUUCAAAAUGGAAUAUCUAAAGCUGACUUUUACUGAGUUAUGGCAGAGUUGUAGUUUGAGAUUAUUUCCUUUUGUUCGUGAUCCAUAACUUCAAUUUCCAUACAAAGUUACUCAAUGAACACUUAAAUUUAUCCUGAGAACAAUUUAUCAUUAGAUAUUUUAUAGAAUCAUAAGGGGGGGGGUGGCUGGGUAGCUCAGUGGAUUGAUAGCCAAGCCUAGAGAUGGGAGUUCCUAGGUUCAAAUCUGUCUUCAGCCACUUCCCAGCUGUGUGAACCUGGGCAAGUCACUUGACCCCCAUUGCCUAGCCCUUACCACUCUUCUGGCUUGGGCC